GCCUACGGGGGGCAGCAGUGAGGAAUAUUGGUCAAUGGGCGAGAGCCUGAACCAGCCAAGUCGCGUGAGGGAAGACGGUCCUAUGGAUUGUAAACCUCUUUUGCCGGGGAGCAAAAAGCGGUACGUGUACCGCAUCGAGAGUACCCGGAGAAAAAGCAUCGGCUAACUCCGUGCCAGCAGCCCCGGUAAUACGGAGGAUGCGAGCGUUAUCCGGAUUUAUUGGGUUUAAAGGGUGCGCAGGCGUCGAGUUAAGCCAGCGGU
rnacentral:rRNA from 1 species